rnacentral:rRNA from 1 species
UACAGAGGGUGCGAGCGUUGUCCGGAAUCACUGGGCGUAAAGGGCGCGUAGGCGGUCCGGUAAGCGCGUGGUGAAAGCUCGGGGCUCAACCCCGAGUCGGCCGUGCGAACUGCGGGACUGGAGCAGAUCAGAGGCAGGCGGAAUUCCGGGUGUAGCGGUGGAAUGCGUAGAGAUCCGGAAGAACACCGGUGGCGAAGGCGGCCUGCUGGGAUCUUGCUGACGCUGAGGUGCGACAGCGUGGGGAGCAAACAGG